AAUAUUGGUCAAUGGGCGGAAGCCUGAUCCAGCCAUGCCGCGUGUGUGAAGAAUGUCUUCGGUUUGUAAAGCACGUUAAUUUGGGAGGAAGGGUUUACACCUAAGACGUGUGAACUUUGUCGUUACCAAAAGAAUAAGCACCGGCUAACUUACUGUCAGCCGCCGCGGUAAUACGAAGGGUGCAAGCGUUAAUCGGAAUUAGUGGGCGUAAAGCGCGCGUAGGUGGGUCGUUGAGUUGGAAGUGAAAGCCCCGGGCUCAACCUGGGAAUUGCUUUCAAAACUGGCGAGCUAGAGUACGGUAGAGGGUGGUGGAAUUUCCUGUGUAGCGGUGAAAUGCGUAGAUAUAGGAAGGAACAUCAGUGGCGAAGGCGACCACCUGGACUGAUACUGACACUGAGGUGCGAAAGCGUGGGGAGCAAACAGG
rnacentral:rRNA from 1 species